GUCCGAUUAGCUCAGUUGGUAGAGCAACUGACUCUUAAUCAGUGGGCCCAGGGUUCGAGUCCCUGAUCGGACACCA
rnacentral:tRNA from 1 species